rnacentral:rRNA from 1 species
GGGUGAGUCGGGUCCUAAGGCGAGGCCGACAGGCGUAGUCGAAUGGAUGAACGGGUGGAUAUUCCCGUACCGACCAUGGACCGGCAAAACCGAGACGGUGAGUACUAACCUCCGCCUCGUGGUGGUUCCUUCCUUCGGGUUGGUAUCGCCGCGUGGUGUUGGGACCGUAGCCGUAGUAGGUCAGCGCAGGGGUGACACGGAAUGGGAGCCGGCCGCGGAGGUGGUUUUCCGUGGUCAAGCACGCAGCCAGUCAUGUAGGCAAAUCCGCAUGGCGCGCAUGGCGAGGUGUGAUGAUGGGAGCCGUUAUGGCUCGAUAUCCGGUUGUCCAGGCCGUCGAGAAAAGCCUCGGCGUGAGGGCCAUGGCCGCCCGUACCCCAAACCGACACUGGUGGUCAGGUAGAGAAUACCAAGGCGAUCGAGCGAAUCCUGGUCAAGGAACUCGGCAAAUCACUCCCGUGCCUUCGGUAUAAGGGAGACCCGCUGGGGUGAACCGGCUAGCCCGGGGAGCUUUGGUGGGUGGCACAGACCAGGGGGUAGCGACUGUUUACCAAAAACACAGGUGCAUGCGAAGGCGAAAGCCGCUGUAUAUGCACUGACGCCUGCCCGGUGCCGGAAGGUUAAGAGGAUCCGUCAAUCCCUUCGGGGACGAAGCGGUGAAUUCAAGCCCCGGUAAACGGCGGUGGUAACUAUAACCAUCCUAAGGUAGCGAAAUUCCUUGUCGGGUAAGUUCCGACCUGCACGAAUGGCGUAACGACUUCCCCACUGUCUCGACCAGGAGCUCGGCGAAAUUGCAGUACGAGUAAAGAUGCUCGUUAAGCGCAGAAGGACGAAAAGACCCCGGGACCUUUACUAUACCUUGGUAUUGGCGUUAGGCGCGGAUUGUGUAGCAUAGGCGGGAGGCUUCGAAGCGUGGGCGCCAGCUCAUGUGGAGCCGCAAGGUGAAAUACCGCUCUGUUCUCGUUUGACGUCUAACCUCGACAAGUCAUCCUUGUCAGGGACAGUGCCUGGCGGGUAGUUCAACUGGGGCGGUUGCCUCCCAAAGAGUAACGGAGGCGCUCAAAGGUCCGCUCAGCCCGGUUGGCAAUCGGGUGUCGAGUGUAAUCGCACAAGCGGGCUUGACUGCGAGGACGACGGUCCGAGCAGGGACGAAAGUCGGAGAUAGUGAUCCGGUGCCGGCGCACGGGCGCGGCAUCGCUCAACGGAUAAAAGGUACCCCGGGGAUAACAGGCUGAUCAUUCCCAAGAGUCCAUAUCGACGGGAUGGUUUGGCACCUCGAUGUCGGCUCGUCGCAUCCUGGGGCUGGAGCAGGUCCCAAGGGUUCGGCUGUUCGCCGAUUAAAGCGGCACGCGAGCUGGGUUCAGAACGUCGUGAGACAGUUUGGUCUCUAUCCUCUGCGCUCGUUGGAAUCCUGAGGAGGCCUGCCCAUAGUACGAGAGGACCUGGGUGGACGAACCUCUGGUAUGCCGGUUGUCGCGCCAGCGGCACGGCCGGUUGGCUACGUUCGGGAGGGAUAACCGCUGAAAGCAUCUAAGCGGGAAGCCUGCUCCAAGAUUAGGAUUCCAUGGAUCUUCGAGAUCCUGUAGCCCGCAUGUUGAACACGUGUUUGAUAGGCCGGAGGUGGAAGCCCCGUGAGGGGUGGAGCCGACCGGUACUAACGGGCGACGGCGACAUAAC